UUUUGGGUCGUGUUUACAUACCCGUGUUCGCGGGGUCCGACAUGCCAAUCAACCUGCUAUCUGCCAAUCACGGGAAUGCCUGGAAUGUUCUGACGCCGUCAUCGUGGACGGGGGUUGGGCAGGGGAAUGGAGCAUUGGAAGUUAAGACCACGUUUAGCCAUUGUUCUCUCUUACAUCUGGCCUUCACAAUUGAAGCUCACGGUUGGUUUUUGGGGUAUCUUUCAUUUAUUUGGCGUGGGCUAUGGCCAAACAGUAGCCUGUGUAAAGUUGGGUUAGUAAACCGUCAAUUCGUAAACUCAAGCCUCAGUCUGGGCAAUUGUUCCUUUAUGAUCUAGUCAGGUCAUUACAAUACGCUGCCGCUACUCUGUUUUUUAUAUUUUUUUUAAUUAAAAUUGUCUUACUUUUUAACUGCAUUGUUGGUAAAAAUAAUCUCGUAUGUAAGCAUUUCACAUUCAAGUCUACAGCUGUUGUAUUCCGUGCAUAUGACAAUUACAGUUGGACUUGAUUUGAAAGGCCCUAUACGGAUUGACCAUGAAAUGCAUGCCUCCAGCAGGAUGCACAGACAACAACUAUAGUUUGCAUGCCCUGCCGAAAGAUCCUUUCAUGCGGAAUAGAUGGUUGGAAUUUGUUGGUCCCCAGUGGUGGUGAGUAUACUGGUAGGUAGAUAAUAGACUGCUGGUUAUGUAUAUUUUGAUAAUCAUUAUCACAAUCAUCACUAGCAUAGCUGACGUUAGCUAGCUAGCUACCAACUAGCUAGCUGGCUGGCUGGCUAACUUUAGCCUACCUCAAUACAACUCACUUUUGACUUGGAAACACAAUAACAUUUCAAAAGAAGGCAAAUAAUUUGUAGGAAAACCGUUUGUCAUGAUUGUGAUGUCGCCAGAUUGACUUUAGAUGCAGUUUAACUUUAGCAAAUUAACUAAGAUUGAGGAGACCACCCUAUUUACCUAGCUAAAAUUAGCAUUGCUAGCUAUUUUUUGACUAACCUUGCUAGUAACUGUAAUGGAUGCAGCAAUGGUGGUACUAGCUAACUCAUGUCUGACUACAACAGUGUACUAACUAGCAGCAACAAACUCAAACCAACCCAGGGCCAUAGCAAAACAUAUCACAAUUGGUUGCAUACAUUGUAGUGUAACGGCGUCACCGGCCUGAAUCUAAUCCAAUCUGGAUCGAGUCAGUCAACAGAAUUGUCUUCCAAACAAGAUUAUUUUAUAUUCUUGAGCUAUGUUUAUAAUUGAGGAUUUGAUGACAAUCAUUGACCCUGUUUUUCUAAGACAAAGUGCCUAGUUGGGCCAGACCGACGCCCGCGCCAGGUCGGGCCAGACCGACGCCCGCGCCAGGUCGGGCCGGGCCAGACCGACGCCCGACCGACGCCCGGUCGGGCCAGACCGACGCCC
ensembl:lncRNA